rnacentral:rRNA from 1 species
ACCGGCGAUACCCGAAUGGGGAAACCCAGUGUGAUUCGUCACACUAUCAUUAACUGAAUCCAUAGGUUAAUGAGGCGAACCGGGGGAACUGAAACAUCUAAGUACCCCGAGGAAAAGAAAUCAACCGAGAUUCCCCCAGUAGCGGCGAGCGAACGGGGAGGAGCCCAGAGCCUGAAUCAGCAUGUGUGUUAGUGGAAGCGUCUGGAAAGGCGCGCGAUACAGGGUGACAGCCCCGUACACAAAAGCGCAUGUGCUGUGAGCUCGAUGAGUAGGGCGGGACACGUGGUAUCCUGUCUGAAUAUGGGGGGACCAUCCUCCAAGGCUAAAUACUCCUGACUGACCGAUAGUGAACCAGUACCGUGAGGGAAAGGCGAAAAGAACCCCGGCGAGGGGAGUGAAAAAGAACCUGAAACCGUGU